UACGUAGGGGGCAAGCGUUGUCCGGAUUUAUUGGGCGUAAAGAGCGUGUAGGCGGCUUUACAGGUCCGUUGUGAAAACUCGAGGCUCAACCUCGAGACGCCGGUGGAAACCGUAAGGCUAGAGUCCGGAAGAGGAGAGUGGAAUUCCUGGUGUAGCGGUGAAAUUCGUAGAUAUUAGGAAGAACACCGGUGGCGAAGGCGGCCCACUGGUCCGGUACUGACGCUGAGGUGCGAAAGCGUGGGGAGCAAACAGG
rnacentral:rRNA from 1 species